GCUGGGCGUGGUGGUGGGUGCCUGUAAUCCCAGCUACACAGGAGGCUGAGGCAGGAGAAUUGCUUGAACCCAGGAGGUGGAGGUUGCGGUGAGCCGAGAUCACACCACUGUACUCCAGCCUGGGUGACAGAGCAAGACUCUGUCUCAA
rnacentral:SRP_RNA from 1 species